rnacentral:rRNA from 1 species
AUUGAACGCUGGCGGCAUGCUUUACACAUGCAAGUCGAACGGUAACAGGCCGCAAGGUGCUGACGAGUGGCGAACGGGUGAGUAAUGCAUCGGAACGUGCCCAAUCGUGGGGGAUAACGCAGCGAAAGCUGCGCUAAUACCGCAUACGAUCUGUGGAUGAAAGCGGGGGACCUUCGGGCCUCGCGCGAUUGGAGCGGCCGAUGUCAGAUUAGGUAGUUGGUGGGGUAAAGGCUCACCAAGCCGACGAUCUGUAGCUGGUCUGAGAGGACGACCAGCCACACUGGGACUGAGACACGGCCCAGACUCCUACGGGAGGCAGCAGUGGGGAAUUUUGGACAAUGGGGGCAACCCUGAUCCAGCAAUGCCGCGUGCAGGAAGAAGGCCUUCGGGUUGUAAACUGCUUUUGUACGGAACGAAAAGGCUCUGGUUAAUACCUGGGGCUCAUGACGGUACCGUAAGAAUAAGCACCGGCUAACUCUGUGCCAGCCGCCGCCGUAAAAC